UACGUAGGGACCAAGCGUUGUUCGGAUUUACUGGGCGUAAAGGGCGCGUAGGCGGCGUGUUAAGUCAGCUGUGAAAUCUCCGAGCUUAACCCAGAAAGGUCAGCCGAUACUGCGGGGCUAGAGUGCAGAAGGGGGCAACUGGAAUUCUCGGGUGUAGCGGUGAAAUGCGUAGAUAUCGAGAGGAACACCUGCGGCGAAGGCGGGUUGGCUGGGCUGACACUGACGCUGAAGCGCGGAAAGCUAGGGGAGCAAACGGG
rnacentral:rRNA from 1 species